UACGUAGGCAGCAAGCGUUGUUCGGAGUUACUGGGCGUAAAGGGUGUGUAGGCGGCCAACUAAGUCCGACGUGAAAUCCCCAGGCUCAACCUGGGAACUGCGUCGGAUACUGGAUGGCUUGAAUUCGGGAGAGGGAUGCAGAAUUCCAGGUGUAGCGGUGAAAUGCGUAGAUAUCUGGAGGAAUACCGGUGGCGAAGGCGGCAUCCUGGACCGACAUUGACGCUGAGACGCGAAAAGCGUGGGGGAGCAAACAGGG
rnacentral:rRNA from 1 species